GACGAACGCUGGCGGCGUGCUUAACACAUGCAAGUCGAACGGUGAACCUCUUCGUAGGGGCUCAGUGGCGAACGGGUGAUUAACACGUGGGCAACCUGCCCCCGGCUCUGGCAUAACUCCAAGCAAUUGCCGCUAAUACCCUAUGUUCACAGCUUCCCGCACGGUUGGUUGUGCAAACGGUUUCCUGCUGGGUAUGGGACCGCGGCCUAUCCGCUUGUUGGUAGGGUAGUGGCCUACCAAGGCGACGACGGGUAGCCGGGCUGAGAGGGUGACCGGCCACGCUGGGACUGAGAUGCGGCCCAGACUCCUACGGGAGGCAGCAGUGGGGAAUGUUGCGCAAUGGGCGGAAGCCUGACGUAGCGAAGCAGUGUGGGGGAUGACGGCAUUCGGGUUGUAAACCUAUUUCAGCAGGGACGAAGCGCAAGUGACGGUACCUGCAGAAGAAGCACCGGCUAACUACGUG
rnacentral:rRNA from 1 species